UGUGUGUGGACAACUAACAUCUGUAGAUGGAUACAUGAACAUAUCUCUAUCUAAUGCUGUGUUUUGUGAUCCCCGAGGCAAUGAAUACUCAUUGGAAAAUAUUUUUAUUCAUGCAAGAAAUAUUAAUAUUAUAACAGCUAUAAAACAAGAGCUACGCUGCAAUAAAAGGGAGCCAAAAGAAAGGCCGACCGCCAAA